rnacentral:rRNA from 1 species
AUUGAACGCUGGCGGCAGGCUUAACACAUGCAAGUCGAACGAGUGGCGGACGGGUGAGUAAUGUCUGGGAAACUGCCUGAUGGAGGGGGAUAACUACUGGAAACGGUAGCUAACACCGCAUACCAUGAGAUGUGCCCAGAUGGGGUUGGCUAGUUGGUGGGGUAAUGGUUCACCAAGGCGACGAUCCCUAGCUGGUCUGAGAGGAUGCCCAGCCGCACGGGAACGGGGACAGGGUCCAGGCUCCUACGGGAGGCAGCAGAGGGGAAUAUUGGGCAAUGGGCGCAAGCCUGAUGCAGCCGUGCCACGUGUAUGAAGAAGGCCUUGGGGUGGGAAAGUAGUUUCAGCGGGGAGGCGUUACCCGCAGAAGAAGCACCGGCUAACUCCGUGCCAGCAGCCGCGGUAAUUC